GACGAACGCUGGCGGCAUGCCUAAUACAUGCAAGUCGAACGCUUUAACUUCACCGGGUGCUUGCACCCAUCGAAGUUAAGGAGUGGCGGACGGGUGAGUAACACGUGGGUAACCUGCCCAUAAGAGGGGGAUAACAUUCGGAAACGGAUGCUAAUACCGCAUAUUUCUAAUCGUCCCCUGACGAACGGAAGAAAGGUGGCUUCGGCUACCGCUUAUGGAUGGACCCGCGGCGUAUUAGCUAGCUGGUGAGGUAAUGGCUCACCAAGGCGAUGAUACGUAGCCGACCUGAGAGGGUGAUCGGCCACAUUGGGGCUGAGACACGGCCCAA
rnacentral:rRNA from 1 species